rnacentral:rRNA from 1 species
UACGGAAGGCAGCAGUGGGGAAUAUUGCACAAUGGGCGCAAGCCUGAUGCAGCCAUGCCGCGUGUAUGAAGAAGGCCUUCGGGUUGUAAAGUACUUUCAGUCGUGAGGAAGGUGUUAAGGUUAAUAACCUUAGCAAUUGACGUUAGCGACAGAAGAAGCACCGGCUAACUCCGUGCCAGCAGCCGCGGUAAUACGGAGGGUGCGAGCGUUAAUCGGAAUUACUGGGCGUUAAAGGGCACGCAGGCGGUUAAUUAAGUUGGAUGUGAAAUCCCCGGGCUAACCUGGGAAUGGCAUUCAAGACUGGUUAGCUAGAGUCUUGUAGAGGGGGUAGAAUUCCAUGUGUAGCGGUGAAAUGCGUAGAGAUGUGGAGGAAUACCGGGUGGCGAAGGCGGCCCCUGGGACAAAGACUGACGCUCAUGUGCGAAAGCGUGGGGAGCAAACAGGGAUUAGAUACC